GCUCCAGGUUCAGUGCCAUGGGAGGCGCCCAAUCUCAGGUCCCCAGGGGCCCGAACGCGGCCGUGGGGAGGACCCCUAAACCCAGAGAGGCCGGGUGCGGGGGCACUCCCAGUGGUACUUACGGGACCAUGCAGUGCCAGGAAUGUGGUAGAAUGCUGGAAUGCUGCACUUCAGUUCUUUCUUCUGCCUCCCUGGACUAUAAACCAGGCUCUUGAUGAGGAGAUAAAAUAAGUCCCCGGAUACCCACCACAGAGCAUGUAGGAUAAAAAUGAAUAGAUUAGGAAUGAAGAACAAAA